AUUGAACGCUGGCGACAGGCCUAACACAUGCAAGUCGAGCGAGCGUCGGACGGGUGAUCACUGUAUGGGGACAGCCCCAUCGUGUUGGAUAACUCCUGGAAACGGUGGCUCACACCGCAUAUUGUCUGAUAACCCACAUGGGAAUAUCUAGUAGGUAAGGUAAUGGCUUACCUAGGCGACGAUCCCUAGCUGGUCUGAGAGGAUGAUCAGCCACACUGGGACUGAGACACGGCCCAGACUCCUACGGAGGCAGCAGUGGGGAAUAUUGCACAAUGGGCGAAAGCCUGAUGCAGCCAUGCCGCGUGUAUGAAGAAGGCCCUAGGGUUGUAAAGUACUUUCAGUCGGGAGGCGUUACCGACAGAAGAAGCACCGGCUAACGCCGUGCCAGCCGCCGCGGUAAUUC
rnacentral:rRNA from 1 species